UAGUCAUAUGCUUGUCUCAAAGAUUAAGCCAUGCAUGUCUAAGUAUAAGCUUGUUUAUACGGCGAGACUGCGGAUGGCUCAUUAAAUCAGUUAUAGUUUAUUUGAUGGUCUCUUUUAUAUUCUUUUACCUACUUGGAUAACCGUGGUAAUUCUAGAGCUAAUACAUGCGCAAGGUCCCGAGCGCGGAGAGUAAGGCUUCACGGCUUUAUUCUUGCAUGCGUAGAGGGAUGUAUUUAUUAGGUUAAACAACCAGCAUUUUCAAUAUCAUCUGGUGAUU
rnacentral:rRNA from 1 species